rnacentral:rRNA from 1 species
CGAGGGGCAUCAGGAAGAAAGCUUGCUUUCUUUGCUGGCGACCGGCGCACGGGUGAGUAACACGUAUCCAACCUGCCCUUUACUCGGGGAUAGCCUUUCGAAAGAAAGAUUAAUACCCGAUGGGAUAAUCAUUCCGCAUGGUCUGAUUAUUAAAGGAUUCCGGUAAAGGAUGGGGAUGCGUUCCAUUAGGUUGUUGGUGAGGUAACGGCUCACCAAGCCUUCGAUGGAUAGGGGUUCUGAGAGGAAGGUCCCCCACAUUGGAACUGAGACACGGUCCAAACUCCUACGGGAGGCAGCAGUGAGGAAUAUUGGUCAAUGGGCGCGAGCCUGAACCAGCCAAGUAGCGUGAAGGAUGACUGCCCUAUGGGUUGUAAACUUCUUUUAUAUUAGAAUAAAGUGCAGUAUGUAUACUGUUUUGUAUGUAUAAUAUGAAUAAGGAUCGGCUAACUCCGUGCCAGCAGCCGCGGUAAUACGGAGGAUCCGAGCGUUAUCCGGAUUUAUUGGGUUUAAAGGGAGCGUAGGUGGACUGGUAAGUCAGUUGUGAAAGUUUGCGGCUCAACCGUAAAAUUGCAGUUGAUACUGUCAGUCUUGAGUACAGUAGAGGUGGGCGGAAUUCGUGGUGUAGCGGUGAAAUGCUUAGAUCUCACGAAGACUCCGAUUGCGAAGCAGCUCACUGGACUGCAACUGACA